rnacentral:ncRNA from 2 species
ACUAAAAUUUAAUAAAACACUCAUAUAAUGGCGGGGAUAUGGCUCGCAAGUUUCUACCGACUUACCGUAAAUUAGUCGACUAUGAGAGACAAUAUAAAUAGA